rnacentral:rRNA from 1 species
AUUGAACGCUGGCGGCAUGCUUUACACAUGCAAGUCGAACGGUAACAGACCGCAAGGUGCUGACGAGUGGCGAACGGGGGAGUAAUGCAUCGGAACGUGCCCAGUCGUGGGGGAUAACGCAGCGAAAGCUGCGCUAAUACCGCAUACGAUCUCUGGAUGAAAGCGGGGGACCGAAAGGCCUCGCGCGAUUGGAGCGGCCGAUGUCAGAUUAGGUAGUUGGUGGGGUAAAGGCCCACCAAGCCAACGAUCUGUAGCUGGUCUGAGAGGACGACCAGCCACACUGGGACUGAGAAACGGCCCAGACUCCUACGGGAGGCAGCAGUGGGGAAUUUUGGACAAUGGGCGCAAGCCUGAUCCAGCAAUGCCGCGUGCAGGAAGAAGGCCUUCGGGUUGUAAACUGCUUUUGUACGGAACGAAACGGUCCUGGUUAAUACCUGGGGCUAAUGACGGUACCGUAAGAAUAAGCACCGGCUAACUACGUGCCAGCCGCCGCCGUAAUAC